GAACCGGUUCUUCGCCGUUAGCCAGCGAACGAGGAAGCAAAUUAAAGGCCGUUUCUGCCCCCGUCACCCCAGUUUUGACAGUUGAGCUGCUCACUUCUUUCCCGGUCUUGAAAGCCGCUGUGUACACCGGGCACUGAGAACGGUACCUGGCCCGUUCACACGAAUACCUGGACGGACGCAGACGCCAGCCCCGGUCGUGAUCUUAGGGUCCGGAGAUGGGAGUCCUGCCAGCUUAACUGCGGCAAAUCGUUUACGAUUAUGACAUAAGGCUGUUUAAAGGUCAAAGAAAAAGAUUCACACAUGUUAUACACAAGGACAAUUUUAAUCCUCCAUUAUCCUGCAGUAACAUCCACUGCUGGCUU